rnacentral:rRNA from 1 species
UACGGAGGAUGCGAGCGUUAUCCGGAUUUAUUGGGUUUAAAGGGUGCGUAGGCGGGAUGCCAAGUCAGCGGUAAAAAUGCGGUGCUCAACGCCGUCGAGCCGUUGAAACUGGCGCUCUUGAGUGGGCGAGAAGUAAGCGGAAUGCGUGGUGUAGCGGUGAAAUGCAUAGAUAUCACGAAGAACCCCGAUUGCGAAGGCAGCAUACCGGCUCCACACUGACGCUGAGGCACGAAAGCGUGGGUAUCGAACAGG